GACGAACGCUGGCGGCGCGCUUAACACAUGCAAGUCGAACGGAAAGGCCUGCUUUCCCUUGUGGAUUGCGGGUACUCGAGUGGCGAACGGGUGAGUAACACGUGAGUGAUCUGCCCCCAACUCGGCUAUAAGCCUGGGAAACUGGGUCUUAUUCCCGCCAGCACCGCAGGGUGGUGCCUGUGGUUGCAAACGAUUUUCUAGUGGUUGGGGAUGAGCUCGCGGCCUAUCAGCUCGUUGGUGGGGUAAUGGCCUACCAAGGCGGCGACGGGUAGCCGGCCUGAGAGGGUGGGCGGCCACAUUGGGACUGAGAUACGGCCCAGACUCCAACGCGAGGCAGCAGUGGGGAAUAUUGCGCGAUGAGCAGAAGCCUGAUGCAGCGACGCCGAGUGGGGGAUGACGGCCUUCGGGUUGUAAACUCCUUUCGACCGCGAGGAAGCCACCUGGUUGGAGGGGUGGUGACGGUAGUGGUAGAAGAAGCACCGGCUAACUACGUG
rnacentral:rRNA from 1 species